GUGCAGCCGCCGCGGUACUACCGGCAGCCCGAGUGAUGGCCGAUGUUAUUGGGCCUAAAGCGUCCGUAGCUGGCCGCGCAAGUCCAUCGGAAAAUCCACCCGCCCAACGGGUGGGCGUCCGGUGGAAACUGCGUGGCUUGGGACCGGAAGGCGCGACGGGUACGUCCGGGGUAGGAGUGAAAUCCCGUAAUCCCGGACGGACUACCGAUGGCGAAAGCACUCUGAGAAGACGGCUUCGACAGUGAGGGACGAAAGCUCGGGUCUCAAACCGGAUUAGAUACCUGUAGUCC
rnacentral:rRNA from 1 species